rnacentral:ncRNA from 1 species
GUGUUGUAUGAAAGGAGAGAAGGUUAGCACUCCCCUUGACAAGGAUGGAAGAGGCCCUCGGGCCUGACAACACGCAUACGGUUAAGGCAUUGCCACCUACUUUU